GAAGAGCCUGCCCACUGUAGUAGACGCUGUCGGAGCCCCCACCCAAAUCCUCCUGACACGGGUAGACAGAUUUCUACUGCUGCUGGGACAGUUUAAAGGCAUGUUACGGAGUCUCUUCAAGGUUCCCGGCACAUUUUACAACCCCAGCUAUCCCCAGAAGUAUACUGAUGGUCAGCAAACCCCAACAGUGUCCCACCAUCCAAGUAUAUCACUUGUCCUGGCACCCUCGCCUCAGGCUGUGCCCCUGAGGGAGCCCAGCCCAAGAUACCCCUCUUUUCCCUAGAAUCCCUGACUCACAAGAGAUGGACUUGUUCAGAACACCCAUUCUCCCCAAGGGCAUCGUGACAUGGUGGUGAGACAUACCCCGUUGUGACAUACCUCUUUGCUACCCUCUGGCGACUGAGAUGGUGGGAGGUGCCAAUGUAUGUGCUGGCUGAAUUUGGAGUUGCUCCUUUACCAAUUUACUCAAAAGACUUAUUGCCCUACUAUGUGCCAGACCCUGUGUUUGGGGAUGGGGAGAUAUUGAUGAACUCAAAACUCAAGGUCCCUGUUUAUAUACAGCUUAGAGCUGGGGAGUGGGAAAGAUGGGGAAUGGAUUAAGCCAACAUGCCAGGACAAAGAUGGCAGCAUGUGACAAGGGAGGUAAAGGGAAUGAGGUCUGUUGUGUGAAUCACGGUUGAAUCCCAUGAAUUUGGGUGAUCAAGGAAGGCUUCUUGGAAGAGGUGACAUUUCAGCUGCAUGACUAAAGGGAUCAGAGGGAGCCAGCCAAGGAAGAAGUAUGAGGUCUAGGGUUAGAAAAGACCUCCUAAGGUCACUGACGGAACAAAGAUCUCUGCUAACCUGGCUGGGGUGGAGUGGCAAAAAGUGGCAAGAGCUGAAUCUGGACAGGAGGCACAUCUGAGGAUACCUAUGGGAUACAAGCGGGGCUCUCCCAGAACCGUCUCCGGCACCACCCCCCACCCCACCCCUAUCCCCUGCAUUCUGAUCUGCUUUCCUGAGUGGGAGAGGGUGGAGUUACUGCCUGCCUGCCAGGAGCCUCGCUGGGUCCCGCACUCCCAGGGGAGGGCGUCUCACGUGUCAACAUCUUCCACCCUGUGCGCCCAGGUGAGAACUGCUGGCUUCAAGGCAGGGAGAGGGAGAAGCAGAGAGGGCCGCUCGAAGAUCGGCACCUGGCAGGCGGGCUUCCGAGUCAGAAGAGAGGUUCGGGUUGCAGCCUCACAGCACUCAGACUGCAACCCACAACCUGCCUCAGUGCGCUGGGGCACCCUUCUUAUCUUCCUUAGCCUCAGCUUCCUCACCUGUUGAAUGGGUUUAUAACCCUUUCCAGUUCCAAAAGUAGCUGAAAGGUUUGCUGAGGAUGUAAAAGCGCUUGGCAGUGCUAAUUUAUUGAAGCCAUUUAUACGAGUCUGUGUGCCAGGCACUGCACCACGAGCCAAGAUGCAGCUGUGAACAAGACAGGGCCAGCUUGGGUGGGGCCAGGGUGGGGAAGACAGGGGAGCCAUGCAGUGUUCACACAGGUUGGUAAUUACAGAGACAAGAUCUUACAAGCACACCACUGAUGCGCCC
ensembl:lncRNA